CUUUCAUCUGCUACAAAUGGAAUAUGGCAACUGAGGAGAGUGACCGAGAACUGUGGUGGGGUAAUAUUUUAUUUAUUCAGAUGUGAAAAUGGAACCAGGAACCGAGUUGGGCCCCAGACCAAGGUUUGAUAAUGAUUCCCUGCAAAGCCGUCUCCAUGUCCUACUCUCUGUCUUUGAUCAUCAGCUCAUAAGUACGAAUUGGCAUAGCUCUGUGCACCACUUCUAACUCCAUUGCAAUGCAUGGAAGAGCAGCUUCAACAACUUUCAGAAAGUCAGAUAUAAUCUUCACCACUAAGUGCACUUAUGGACAGUUAUGAGAUGACCAUCUCAACUACGGUCCCGCUUGUGUCUCUGUAGUCUGGGAGGAACAUAUCCAAUUUUUUGAGACAGGUACUAAGGACACUGACAGACUUCAAUCAAGAUUUUAGUGUAGUGGUGAUGCUGAAACUAUGUGUCCGUGUGUCUGUAUGUGCUGUCAUUACCCUUCUGAAACUGACAGCAACUUUUGAAUCUGCAGAAGCAUGGAAAUCCAAAAGCUGCAGUUAAUGCUUCCCUACAGGGUACAUCAACAAAGACCCCUAGACUAUAAAUGGUAAUGAUCAAACCAUGAAAUCUUUUUCUUUCCUUUUUUCACCUCCAGAAGUACUCUUAUAUACAACUAAAUGGCUUUUCCACCACCAAAUCAUUGAAUUUUGUUCUUUUCAUGCCUUUAGUUUAAUUUUAAAAAUCCUGUGAAAAAAAAACACACCAUAUUGAAUGAGAUUCACUCAUUUUUUGCUGGAAUUUCUGCAGAACAGCCUUAU